rnacentral:rRNA from 1 species
UACGUAGGGUGCAAGCGUUAUCCGGAAUUAUUGGGCGUAAAGAGCUCGUAGGCGGUUUGUCGCGUCUGCUGUGAAAACUGGGGGCUCAACCCCCAGCCUGCAGUGGGUACGGGCAGACUAGAGUGCGGUAGGGGAGAUUGGAAUUCCUGGUGUAGCGGUGGAAUGCGCAGAUAUCAGGAGGAACACCGAUGGCGAAGGCAGAUCUCUGGGCCGUAACUGACGCUGAGGAGCGAAAGCAAGGGGAGCGAACAGG